UGCGCCGCCGCUGCUGCUGCCUGCCCUUUGUGUGAGGACAGAUCAACUUUAAAAGCUUUUUUUCAGACAGCCUGAAUGCACUUCAUUUUACCAGAAAGAACUUUGUAUUGAUAGCUACAAGAAAGGAAGGUUGUUUAAAAAGGAAGGGGAGACAAUCGGGACAAAAUGAGGACUUAGGGUUUCUAUUAUGAACACGUCUGUCCAUUCUUCCUGUCUGUUUAUGCAUUCCCCACACAACAGUGUGUCUUUCCGUUCAUCUGCUUCCCCCUCACACUCUCCACAGUGGAAGAGGCCUCACAUCACGGCCGAGGUGAUAAAUACCACAGCAAUGUGGAUAUGAUGUCAAUUUGCAUUUGUCAGGAGGAUCAAGGUAAACUCGGGGGCUGAAAGCCAGAACACACCGCUAAUGCUCAUUCCUCCUUCUGCAGAUCCAGCCUUCCUCUAUGUUGCAUGGAAUGAAAGGAUUCCUCAGGACUUCUCCGUAUGUGUCACAGGCUUUUAUUGUCAGGGAAAAGGAAGUCACUCUGCACAGUGUCCAAGGAAGUCACCAGGUCCCUGUGGGCCCAGCUUCUAGCGGAGGAACUGCAAAUCUAAAAAAGGAAUUUGAGCUAGGUCUGACGGCUCAUAUAUUCAUUAUCAUUGCACUUGGAAACUGAAGGAGAAUAAUUACCAUGAGUUCAAAGCUAAUAUGAGCUACGCGUUCAGUUGAAAGUAGAACACAAACGGAGAUCGAUACAGUUUGCAUGUUUCUCUGUUACCCCAAGGUGACAAUUAUCUAAGAAGUCCUCUGAGGGUCUGGACCCCAAGCACAGCACGUCAGGACCACAGGAGACUCUUCAAAGAAGCUCAGAGUGUGAAGCUCAGAGUGUGAAGCUCAGAGUGUGAAGCUGAGUGUGAAGCUCAGAGUGUGAAGCUCAGAGUGUGAAGCUCAGAGUGUGAAGCUCAGAGUGUGAAGCCAGUAUGUGCUUAGGAUGUUACAUAGCAAGGCCAGCAGGGAACGCCCAAGCCCGAGGACAUGAGUUCAAACCCCGAGACCUGCUUGUAGAAGCAGGGAACGAACUUCCACAAGCUGUCUUCUGACCUCCACACGAAGGCCCCAGCGCAAAUUCGUGCACACACAAACACAAAAUGGACAAGUGUGAUAAAUAAUGAUAGCCAACACUAAAUAUUUAGUGUGCAGAGCUCUUUGUUGCCCAUUUGAUUUCACAAUGGCCCUAAGUCACAAGUGUUACGAACUAAACCAGAAGAACUAAACCACUGAAACAGUGCUUUCCCAGGUGUGUCCCAUACACCUUGAGAGCUCUCAGGGUUCCUCUGGGACCCCUCAACGUUCAGGCAAGGGAGAGCAAGCCUGUCUAGAGCCCCUGUAUCCACUUCCCUCUGAGCUCUUGGCCUUCACGUUCUAUUCUGAUUCGAGGAAAGAGUUUUUACAACUGAGAACAACAUAAAACUACCAGUCUGGUCUAGAGCUGUCCUCUCCCGGUGAACAUGCUGAGGAGCAGACCAGUCGAAUCAGUCUCAAGGUUGCGAGUGAGCACCACCAAGUCACAUUACUCCUGCUCUACCACGACACUCACGUCAUAAGAAAGUGACCAUAACCUGGAAGAUGUGAACGCCCACGGAAGCCCACACUGGCUGCCUGCGGCAGUGGCCAUUUGGAUGAGCUGGAGUGGAGACUGAGAGACGAGACAGACACAAAGCCAGAAUGUUUCACCUGCUAUUUAUUUUCAAACCUGCCUUGAUCAUAUUUUUUAAUUACUGUGAUUAAUUUUGCAUUAAGUUAUUUUAAAAAAUUAAAAUAUCACCCUUCCCAUAGUCCAGGGACCUUCAGGAAAAGUGGAAUAUCACUGAGUCCACAGACAAGUAGGCCCUCUGAAACUGCCUCAGGGACUUUCAACUUCAGCGCAAACUACAUACAUUUUGGUGAAGAAUGGAUUCCAGUAGGCUAGGCUGCCUUUGCAUCUAUAAUUGACUGGCUUUACCUCUGUACCUGACUACACUAUUCUGUGAUAAUGUCUAAGAGCAUUCAGGAAGUGUUCGCUGGUCUUUUCAGGUGCCAGUUGGUGAAAGAGUUUUAAAGCAUUGUGUUUAAAAUGCAACAUGACUCAUUUUUCAUUGUUGUUUAAUUUUGACAAUUUAUUCCAAGCUGUGGUGUUCAUGAAUCAAACUGAAUGCCAGGGGGCUAGCCGGCUUUUAUGGCUCUUGUUUUAAUAACCGUAUGGUAAUAUUUUUAUUAAAGCCAUCUUUGUAACCAAA